UCCAGUAAAAGCAGGAGGUAUCAGUCGCUCUCCUGCCUACUCUGUUCUUCUUCCCCUUGCCUCUGUUCUCAGCUGCUUGAUCUUUUCCUCCUUUGCGUCACUGUGGCACUCAUCUGUUCGUACGAUACCCUCUGGAUGCCACCACCUCAUUGGAAGACAAGGAACAGGCAGUAGAAGACAUAAGAAGUGUUCUGAGAAGAGAGACACAGGAUAUGGCAGUAUUAUUGUCAACUUUAAUUUCAGUAUUUUUGGAUUUUCAUGUUCUGGUUAGCUGUUGAAGAAAAUGGAGAGAACAUAAGUAACCCCUAAGAAAGCAUGUAUUUUCAAGUCUUCAAUGUGAAAACUUCAUUUAUGAUUAAUUGUGGGUAAUGCAGUUGGAUGGUUUGCACAUGGUCAGAAAGCUUUUCUAUUUAAUCCCUUAGUGUGAUGUUUACUUCUUUCUUUAAAAAAUAAAAAUAAAAAAAAUAGCUUU